GGUCGGCUAGCUCAAUGGUAGAGUGCUUGACUACGAAUCAAGAGGUUGCAGGUUCGAGCCCUGCGUCGAUCA
rnacentral:tRNA from 1 species